AACGAACGCUGGCGGCAUGCCUAACACAUGCAAGUCGAACGAGAACUUCGGGCCUAGUGGCGCACGGGUGCGUAACGCGUGGGAAGCUGCCCUUAGGUUCGGAAUAACUCACCGAAAGGGGUGCUAAUACAGGAUAAUGUCUUAGGACCAAAGAUUUAUCGCCUUUGGAUGGGCCCGGGUUGGAUUAGCUAGUUGGUAGGGUAAAAGCCUACCAAGGCGACGAUCCAUAGCUGGUCUGAGAGGAUGAUCAGCCACACUGGGACUGAGACACGGCCCAGACUCCUACGGAAGGCAGCAGUGUGUAAUAUUGUACGAUGGGCGAAAGCCUGAUCCAGCAAUGCCGCGUGAGUGAGGAAGGCCUUAGGGUUGUAAAGCUCUUUUACCCGAGAUGAUAAUGACAGUACCGGGAGAAUAAGCUCCGGCUAACUCCGUG
rnacentral:rRNA from 1 species